rnacentral:lncRNA from 1 species
GGUUCAAGAGCUUCUCGUGGUAGUAGCUUCUCGUGGCGAUUCCUUCUCCAUCGCCCUCAGGCCGCUGAUAGCCGCCGCUGAUCGUCCAUCGCCAGCCACCGACGCAUGCAGUCAUCGCAGAUAGCUCAUCCGCAAAGAUAUCAGCAAUUCCGCGGCAGAUCGCCACCAGUUUCACCGCCGUGAAGAGGCUCCGUUCGCCCCUGUUUCAGAGUCAUCGCUACCGAAGUACACAAUCUAGGUCUAUUCCUCUAGGUCCCGGCGUUGUUGUCCAUUACGAUCUCUCUCCUUCGAGCGAUCAUCAAUCUCAAGCAGUGACGGCUCUACCAACGCUUCCCUCUCCUAUGCUCUAUUUUGGUUUCAACCUCGUAUGUUUCAGUGCACGCCUGUCCUCAUAUUCGUUGAUUUUGUCUCUGAUAAUGUUUAAAAUGAACAUCUCACUCUAUGCUCCUCACCGAUGAUUUGUUGAGUAUUUUGUCUCGAGCACUUCGAAUUUCAUGUUCAUCAGCUGUUCGAUGUUUUGCCCAAGUGACUUCUAGUAUUGAUUUGCUUCUAUCAUCAGCAAUCUGAGAGCAUUCUAGUGCGACUUGCAUGGUUAUUAGUAGAUGGAUCGGCCCUAAGAUAUGAUUAUUGGCUCAUUACUUGCUGGUCGAGAACCAUCAUGCAUGAGGCCAGCCCAAUCUCG